UACGUAGGGGGCAAGCGUUGUCCGGAUUCAUUGGGCGUAAAGAGCGUGUAGGCGGCCAGGUAGGUCGGUUGUGAAAACUGGAGGCUUAACCUCCAGACGUCGACGGAAACCGCGUGGCUAGAGUCCGGAAGAGGAGAGUGGAAUUCCUGGUGUAGCGGUGAAAUGCGCAGAUAUCAGGAAGAACACCAAUGGCGAAGGCAGCUCUCUGGGACGGUACUGACGCUGAGACGCGAAAGCGUGGGGAGCGAACAGG
rnacentral:rRNA from 1 species